UGUUUCCGUAGGUGAACCUGC
rnacentral:rRNA from 1 species